CCUACGGGAGGCAGCAGUGNNGAAUAUUGGGNAAUGGCCAAAAGGCUGACCCAGCGACNCCGCGUUGCGGGAGGAAGCCCUUCGGGGUGUAAACCGCUGUCAGGGGGGACGAACCACGGAUCGGUCAAUACCCGGUCCGCCUGACGGUACCACCAGAGGAAGCUCCGGCUAACUCCG
rnacentral:rRNA from 1 species